CAAUAGCGUAUAUUAAAGUUGUUGCAGUUAAAAAGCUCGUAGUUGGAUUUGUGGCGUAUGGUGUGUUCCGGGCACUUGUUGUCUGAGUAACUUGCCAUUGCCAUCCUUGGGUGGAACCUGUGUGGCAUUAGGUUGUCGUGCAGGGGAUGCCCAUCGUUUACUGUGAAAAAAUUAGAGUGUUUAAAGCAGGCGUUCGCCCAUUUGAAUACAUUAGCAUGGAAUAAUAAGAUAUGACUUUGGUGGUCUAUUUUGUUGGUUUGCACACCAGAGUAAUGAUUAAUAGGGACAGUUGGGGGUAUUCAUAUUUCAACGUCAGAGGUGAAAUUCUUAGAUCGUUGAAAGAUGACCUUAGGCGAAAGCAUUUACCAUGGAUGUUUUCAUUAA
rnacentral:rRNA from 1 species